rnacentral:rRNA from 1 species
UCCGGUUGAUCCUGCCGAAGGCUACUGCUAUUGGAGUUCGAUUAAGCCAUGCGAGUCUAAGGGAUCUUCGGAUCCCUGGCGUAAUGCUCAGUAACACGUGGAUAAUCUACCCUCAGGUGGGGCAUAAACCCGGGAAACUGGGGCCAAUUCCCCAUAGAUACAGAUGGCUGGAAUGCUUCUGUGUUCAAAGCUCCGGCGCCUGAGGAUGGGUCUGCGGCCUAUCAGGUUGUAGUCAGGGUCAAGACCUGACUAGCCAGCGACGGGUAUGGGGUGUGAGAGCACUUGCCCAGAGAUGGUUUCUGAGACACGAAACCAGGCCCUACGGGGCGCAGCAGGCGCGAAAACUUCGCAAUGCGGGAAACCGUGACGAGGGAACUCCAAGUGUCUAUGCAUUGCAUAGACUGUUUUUUAGCCUAAAUAGCUAUUAGAGUAAGGGGUGGGCAAGACCGGUGCCAGCCGCCGCGGUAACACCGGCACCUCGAGUGGUAGCCACUAUUAUUGGGCCUAAAGCGUUCGUAGCCGGUUUGGUAAAUUCUUGGGUAAAUCGUACCGCUUAACGGUGCGGAUUCCGGGGACACUACCAGACUUGAGACCGGGGGAGAUCAGAGGUACUUGUGGGGGAGCGGUGAAAUGUUGUAAUCCUGCAGGGACCACCAGUGGCGAAGGCGUCUGAUCAGAACGGCUCUGACGGUGAGGAACGAAACCCUGGGGCGCAAACGGGAUUAGAUACCCCGGUAGUCCAGGGCGUAAACGCUGCUGACUUGGUGUUGGAGAUCCUACGAGGAUGUCCAGUGCUGGCGCGAAGGUAUUAAGUCAGCCGCCUGGGGAGUACGGUCGCAAGGCUGAAACUUAAAGGAAUUGGCGGGGGAGCACCGCAACCUGAGGAUUGUGCGGUUUAAUUGGAGUCAACGCCGGA